rnacentral:lncRNA from 1 species
CCUAAAAGAAAAAUUAAUAUGGAUAGAAAAAACCUUAGAAAAUUUAGAUAAAAGCACAUGUGAUAGUUUAUAUAGUUUAAAAAACUCACUACGAGAAGAACAACACAAGAUAAUAAAUAACAUUGAAAAUCUAGAAUUAGAUAUACAUUAUAGCACAGAUAGGAUAAAUUAUUAUACAGAAAUUUGUAACUCUGCAAUUACUACAGGAUAAAAAAAUUUAAUGAAUAUAUCUUACGAAAAAAGUAAAUUAUUAAAAGAUAUUGAAACAAAAUAUCCACGCACUAAUAAAAAUAGAUUCACUAGAAGCCUACUAAAUCUAUUAUACCUAUUAGAGAUCCGCACACCCCCCUCCAAACCUACUAAAUCUAUUAUACCUAUUAGAGAUCCACACACACCCCUCCAAAUGGUAUCAGAGCACAUCAAUUUAAAACGAACGGAAGAAAUAUAUAUUAGAGUUAGAGUUAGAAUAUAUAUGUUAGAGUCAAAAUUUUCGUAAGUCUUUUGAUUUUUAAUACUUUAUAAUUCUUAAAAUUAUAAGCAAAAAAAUUUAAAAUAAAUAAUUUUGUACGUGUAUUAAUGUUAAUUGAUUUUUUUUUUUUAACAAUUAAAAUUACGAAGAAGCUCGAGGCUAGCAACACAAGGUGGAGACUAAGGCUAGCAGCAAAGACAAAGAGGUGCUAAUGUGAAGAAUUGAGGAAUAAUGUGCUGAAGUUGAAGCUAUUUUAUCAUAAAUAAAAAAGGACAUCGUUCACCAUGGAAUAUUUUUCAAUAGUCUUGUUUGUUUUGUUUUAGCCCAUUUAAUUUCAUAAGUAAAGUGUUGAACUUCUUUAUUAAGUUUAGUUUUUGCUGUUUUAGUUUGUUGUCAAUUUCAAUUUAUCUUGUUUCUAUUUCAAACAUUCUUUGUUAUGAUUUACUUUAUUCUUAUCAUUUGGAAGUGUUUCCUCCAUUUCAAUAUUCUUAUCUGAAGCGUUUGGUUAUGAAAAUAUUUUUACUUUUUUUUUUUUCAAAAAAUUAUCCUGUUUUAGUGAAAAAGAUGAAAAUAGUAGUGUUUGGUUAUAAGAAUAAUUUCACUUGGUAUAAAUUAUUUUUGAAAAAAUGAAAAUAAGUAAAACUUGUUUUCACCUUUUUCAUUUCUAUUUCUCUCACAUAAUUUCAAAACACAACUUCAAUUUAUAUUCAUGGUCAAACACAACUUUAACUUCAACUCCAACUCCGAAAAAUUAUUAUUUUUAUAGUUAUUUUUUUUCAUUUUAAUUUGUUUGUUUGGUGCUGACUUGACACAAAGUUCAAACAAGUAAAUAAGACUUUGAAAUCUUGUAAUCUUAACUAAAGAUAUGUAGAAUGUAUCAAAAUGCAUAUUCAUCUUGUGAUAUUAAAAAUGUCACGUGAAAUGUUGAAAUUAAAGAGUUAUAUAAACUGACAUUUUUUAAAAAAUGGACUAAUAAGAAAAGUGAAACAAAUAAAUAGAACGGGGGAAGAAUUUGAACGGUCAAAGAAAAUUCAUAUUUUUUUUCAAAUGAAAAGAAUAAGAUUUGAUUGUACUUUUACAAAAAGUUAUAUUUGCCAUUUGUUAUGUUUUUUCUCAUACACUUAUCCUUGUCAUCCAACUUUGAGCACAUAUUUAUUCGUAAAUCAUUAAAUUCCCCUCGUCCCUCUCGCAAAGUUUAGAUGUUACAACAAAUCCGGCUGUUGUUUAGUCGCUAUUUUCCAAUAUGUGUGUAUGUAUAACUAGGCUUCUACAACAUGUAUUUUUAUUUGUGUUCAUUUUCAAUUCAAAAUUCAUUGACAAAAUAUAUUGAGGAUAUUUUUAACUUAUAAAAUAUGUAUUUAAGAUAAAUAUACAUAGUGAACUUGCAAACUCAUGGAAUAGUUUUACAUGUUUGAUAUGGUUUUUUGUGUGACAUAAAUAUUAUAUUCAUUGCAUAAUUUUAGAAUAACUUUAAAUAUUAAUUGUAGAUUUAUAAUAUAAACUUAUUCAUAUAUUUGAUAAAAAAAUACUUUAUUGACUGUCAAGUGAGAUAUUUAUAAAAUUAAAAGAGAAAAUUGCUCCCUCUUCUCUGUCUAACCAGCUAACUACUUAAACUUCCUAACGUUGAACCUCAAAUUUUACUAAUAAGAUUCUAUACAAUCAAAUAAUCUUAUAUUACCUCUAACUCUGACAUACAAGCUAAGUUUUAUCUGAUGGAUAAGCACCACUAUAGGUUUUUGCAUUUUUUGAAAUAUCCACUAGUUUUAUUCUUGCCAAAUGAAAUAGAUGAUUACAACGAAACUGACCUUCAUGAUAACUCCUCUAGGAUACUUGACUUGUGAGUGUGGAUCCACCCAUUUCCAUUCCUCCUGCCACUGUAGAAUUCUUCUAUGCCAUCUUUGUCAUUCCAGAAUUGCAUUCCAUAAAGCUGAAGUAUACAAGCAAUCAAAGAAUAGGUGAGUUGUAGUUUCUAGUUCCCCAUUACAUAGACCGUAUGUUUCAUCCACUGGUAUGCCCCACUUUCUUAUCAGAUCUUUUUAUUCAUAUCUUCUCUCAAAUUUGUAACCAUAACAUAAAUAUUUGAUUUGGCUCUGCAUAAUUAUGAAAAACUAAAUUCUUCCACUCUACAUUAGGAGUUGUAUCCCUCAACUAUGAAUACACUUUAGCUUUAGAAUUUUUUCCUUGUUGAACAAGUGCUCCAUUAUGCCUUAAGAUUUGCCAGAAUUGUCUCAUAUGUAAGAUCUUUUACACCAUCCAAGAAGCCUGGGGUGGUAUAACCAUGUUCUCAAUUGUCUAAUUUUUUAUGUAGUGUGUAUGAAUCAAAGUUAUCCAUUGUUUGUCUUUCAUCAUGUUCAAAGCCACAACCGUUUUCACAGAGCUUCAUUUGUUCCAUAUUUGUGAGUUUAUCAAAUUCAUAUUAUUUACACCUUUGGAUAAACUUACCUGACUUUUAUCAUCUUCAUAAUCUGUUUUGGCAAUAGGAAUAAUUAACUUUAAUUAACUUAAACUCCAAAAAGGAAUACUUUUAUAAGUUGAACAGUUCCUGUAUUUGUCAAAUUUUUAUCUGUUCAGAUGGUGAUCUUAGCUAUAACUUUUUAAACUAGUGAUGUGCAUUGUGGAACAGUCAACCUUUUAGUAGGAAGUGGAGCCCCUAAAUAUUUGAAAGGUAGUUUUCCCAAUUCAUAACUCAAAAUGUCCAUAAUUCUCUGUUAGGUGCUAUUAUUUACACCUCCAAAGUAUACUUGACUUUUUCAUUGGUUUUCUUUUAGCUUCAAAGCUAGUGAGAAUAACUCAAACCUUUCUUUUAGCAAUUAUAUAGAUGUAUUAUCACCUCUGGAGGAUAUUAAGAGAUCUCCUAUAAAACAAAAAUGAACUAUCCCAAUUUCUGGCAUCUUAGGUGAUAGUUGAAGUUAGGUUCUUCUUGGAGAGUUUGUAAUCAUCUAUUCAAGUACUCCAUCACUAAAUACAAAAUAUAUGGAGAAAGUGGAUCCCUUUCUCAUAGACCUCUUUUACAUUGAAUAAUUUUUGACAAAGCUCCAUUGAUAAAAAAUGUAUAACUCACAGUUUUUAUGCAAAUCAUAGUCCAUUUAACCAUCUUAAUAGGAAAACCAAUAUCUUGGAGGAUCUAUUCAAUAAAAUGUCCUUCAAUAGAAUCAUACGCCUUUUGAAGUUCCACUUUGAUCAUACACAUGGAAGAAAGGUGUUUUCUAGUAUACCCUUUAACUAGUUCAUGGCUUAGAAUUAUAUUAUCUUCUAUGAACCUGCUCGAAAUAAAAGUAGAUUGGCACUUGCCUACCACUCUAUCCAACACCCCUUGUAUUCUAACAGUAAAGUCUCUUACUAUUUCAGAUAAGAGACUUUAGGCAUUAAAGUAACUGCAAUAUUGUUAAUUGCUUUAAGGAAUCUAUUGUAUUGAAAGAACUCUUGAACUACCCUAAAAAAUCCUCUUUGAUAACUGUCCAUGCCUUCUUAUGAGAGUAUGCUGAAACUAUCUAUUAUCGAUCAUUUACUAUCAUCAAUUGCAAAAAGGGCUUUUUUCACCCCUUCUCGAGUGAUUGGUGCACAUAUGUCUCUUUUUUGUUGUAUAAAUAAUCUAGGUCCUUCUCUCAUUAUGUGCAAACCAAUACUUGGGAGUCUGGAAAACCCAUCAAGCCACUAUAGAAUUUGAUCACUUUUUUAUAGUAGUGUUUUCUUGCAGACUAUUACUAUUGUCAUCCUUUAGCAUAGUUAUGGCAUUAGAGAUUUCCCUUGCUUUCAAAAAUUUGAAAAAGUACUUAUUGUUACCAUCCCCUAUCUUUAUCCAAUGAGCCUUUGAUUUUUGUCGUAAAAUGUUCUCUUAGUUAGUGAUCCACUUGAUCUAGUUUUUCAGCUUGUUCCAUAUCAUGACUAGGUUAUACUAUAAUGAGAAAACCAACCUAAAUUCUCGAGGAAUACUAGAAAAGAAAGAAAAUUAAUACUAGCAUAAUUAGGGUCUCUAUCUGAAGUGUGGCUAAACAUGAGAUCAUCUAUCAAUAACACAACUUACCACGAGAAAGAAAAGGAAAGAGAAAUAUACCUACAAUCUCAGGAAAUAUUUUAUAACCUGUAACGCCCUGACAUCUGAUUCCUGGGAUGCCACAUGGUGCUCCGAACUAUAAGUAGUCCUAAACUAACCCUUGCUGCCUUCUACUAAACCUGAAUCUCAAAAAAGGAGAAUAUGAAUAUAAAACCAUAAUAAAUGCGGAAAGCUAUCUGAAUUAUCUGAGUAUAUCUAAAAAAUACUAAUCUCAUCAGUCUGACAAAAGCAAAUAUUGAGAAAUCUGAAUACUACAACUAAUAUCUAAAACUGAAUGUAGUUGUCCAAUAAGUCUUUACUGACUAAAUCUAGAGAGUCACUGGGAUAGGCCCCAACUGACUCAAACUGUCUGAAAUGAAUACUAAGUCAUCUACUAAUAAACUGAAAAUCUGAAUAGCUAAGUCCUCGAACUACGAGGGCCCACCAACUUUAGAGAUGUAUAUGUAGAUGCUUAAAAUCACUUGUGCUGCUGAAAUUGAGCACCGGAACCUACAUUAUGAGGCAAUAUAGCACAUAGACAUAUAUGUGGAUUAGUACUUUGAGAAUGUACUGAGUAUAUGGGGUUGAAUGCAAUAAGGAAACAAUAUUAUUACAAUCCCUAAAAUCAUGCAUGCUAAAUGUAAAUGACUCACAUAGGCUUGAGUAAUCUGAAAACUUAAGAUCGUAAUUCAGGAAUAAUAAGGCAUAUAAUAUAACUCUUGUAAACCAUUACAUUCAGUUCUAAAAUCUGCUCUUUCUGAAAAAUAAUACAUUAUCUUAUCAACUGUAAAGGAAAUACUUCAUCUCAAGACUUUAACAAUCUUAAAAAACAAUCUUCCAAAACAUAUGCUUUUAUGUUAAGGCUUUAAACCAAUAGACUGUUUUUAAGAGUAAGGAAUAUCUUUUGGGAGGUUCUUCUAACCAACAUAAACCAUGUGAGCACUCAUGGAGUCCAACGUCUUACCCAUGUUGGGGAGAGUUAUUUUACCCUUACCAUCGAAAUAGAACUUGUUAGCUUAAGUAAUCACAAUAUUAGUCAUCCAUGUAGAAGUGGAAAUAAUCUUAAUCCUAUGGUGGUACGUAGUUCUGGGGCAUGAAACCUUGGUAACGUACCCAUCUCAGUGCUAAAUACUACUCCCAUUCUUAUGCUCAGGAUCUUAAGAAAUCCACUUCAAAAUAGCACAAGGGUUUACAAGAAAACCAAUUAUUCUCUUUCUUUUCUUUAAAUGUCAAGUCAUAUGAACAUGUGGAUUCUUUAUCUUAGUUUUGGACCAAAAGGUCAAAUAUUUAUCAAAAAUAUGAGAAUAAUCUUAUCAUAGAGUACUCAUAGCACAAACAAUCUUGAAAUAGCAAUCUCAAUUUGGGCUAACUGACCUAUGUAUCAAACUCAUUUUAAAACAUCAUAAUGUUCAUGCUUGAGAAUGUAAACAUUGGUAAAUUAAUUCAAAAUCUGGUAAUUUCUGCAAUAUGUAUGAAAAUAUGAACAUAAUUAUGUAAUUCAACUUCUAAAUCUCUCAAAAUCUUAUAAUCUUUUAAAUAGCAAUAUUGGGUAUAAACCCUAACUUAAAUUUCAUGGGAAAUCACAUAAAGUUUAGUAAAUUUGUAAUUAAGAUAAGUUUUGGGCACAAGGAUGAAAGGAUUAUCCUUGUUGAAAAACCCCACAUACCUCAAUUGAUUAUCUUUGAUGAAAACCUUGAAUCUUGGAUUCCCAUAGUGUCUUUGAAGAUGAAUUCUUAGAGUUCUUGAAUUGGGAAUCCUUAAUUUUGAAUUUCUUUGGAGAAUUAAUGGAGAAAUUGGAUCUCUUGGAGGAGGAGAUUUUUGGUUUCUAGGUUUUUUCUUUUGAAGACAAUGAUGAAUAAUGAGAAAAAAGUUCUUGGAAUAUGAUUAAUCUUAUGUUUAUGAUGGAUUAGGGCCUUGGGGAUUGACCAAAAUACCCCCUUUAAACUUUUAAACAAAACUGGAAAAUGCAAUAUUUUUCGAACUGGGUGGCCACCGCAAUGCGCCACAAUCGCGGUGGAUCACUGGAAAAGGGAUGAGUGGGAAUUGGGCUCCCUCUGCGACGCGCCACCUUAGAAGUGCCCUUUAGUUUUCCAUUUUUUCCAUUGGCGCGAUGCGCCAGUAUCGCGUAGGCUCACUGGAAAUUGACAAAUGAGAAAUUGUCCCUCUCUGCAAUGCACCAAUAUUGCGGAGGUCCACUGGAAUUUGACAAUUUUCAAUUAAACCCUCUCCGCAACGCGCUAGUGACUAAAAUGAUGGUGUUUUACAACUAGAACUUAAAAUAGCCAUAACUUCUUACUCAAUUAUCGAAUUUAGGCAAAUCUUAUAUCAUUGGAAAGCUAAUUCAAUUUCUUAUGCAUUGGAGGGUCUAAAACUGGAAAAUUCCAUAUGUAUGAAAAGUCAUUUUCUCUUGAAGCCAAUGCUUGACAUUUUUAAUGCUAAAUUGUACUAGGAAAAGUACGUGGUAUUACAAUGUCUCUCCCUUAGAAACAUUCAUCCUCAAAUGUGUCUAGUUCUACUAAGGGCACUAAGGAAUCUAUGGCUAUAGGAUAGCAUGCGCAACUAAAACAAAUUGCACAACUUAAUCUAAAUCAUUCUGAGUUUUUGAGUAAUCUUAUGAGUGCAUGAACUUACAUGAGGACAACUAAAUAGUUUGAUCCGUGAUUAGAAAAGAACUGAAUUAAGGAAUAGUAUUACCUUUGGCUAAAUCUGAGUUUACGGAGAAGAGGUGAGGGUACUUGGCUCGUAUAUCUGCUUCUGCUUCCUAAGUAGCGCCCUCAACAGACUCAUUCCGCAAAAGAACUUUGACCAAUGAAACUAUUUUGUUCCUUAGUCUACAGAUUUGAUGAUCUAAGAUCUCAACUAGAAUCUUUUCAUAUGAAAGGCUUUUCUGAAUAUCUGAACUUUCUAAAGGAACUACAACAGUGGAGUCACCGAUGCACUUCUUAAGCAUAGAGACAUGAAAUAUAGGAUGAAAGGCUGACAAGUCUACGGGCAACUUAAGCUCAUAAACGACUUUCCCAACACGACUCAGAAUUCUGUAAGGGCCAAUAUACCGGGGACUAAACUUCCCCUUUUUACCAAAUCACUUCACCCCUUUCAUGGGUGAAGUCUUCAGAUAUACUAAAUCAGUAACCUCAAACUUGAGGUCCCUUCUUCUCACAUAUGCAUAUGAUUUUUGAUGGCUCUGGGCUAUUUUCAAUCUUUCUCUAAUCAACUGAACCUUCUCCAUAACUUCAAACAUUGCGUCAGGCCCAAGCAAAGCAGCCUCACCCACUUAAAACCAACCUAUGGGUGAUCAACAUCUCCUUCUAUAAAGAUCCUUAAACGGGGCCAUCUGUAUGACAAAAUAAUAACUGUUAUUAUAAGUUAAUUUAACCAAUGGAAAGUGCUCAUCCCAACUACCUUUAAAAUCAAGAGAACAUGCUCUAAACAUAUCUUCUAGAGUUUGAAUGGUCCUCUCUGCUUAACUAUCUAUCUAAGGGUAAAAAGAUAAACUAAGAUGGACUUCGGUACUAAGACCCUUCUAAAAAGCUCUCCAAAACUGAGAGGUAAACUGAGUACCCCUAUCUGCGAUAAUGGACAAAGGCAUCCAAUGCAGUUUAACCAACUCUCGGAUAUACAACUUAGCAUAAUCUUUAGCUAUAUAGGAUGUAUGAACUGGAAAGAAAUACGCCGACUUAAUCAAUCUAUCUAUAAUAACCCAAAUCAUAUCAUGAUGACGAUGCAAAUGGGGUAAACUAGUCACAAAAUCCAUAUUUACCUAUUCCCACUUCUAAAUAGGAGAUUCCAAGCUCUUGCAACGUACCAACAGGCCUUUGGUGCUCUACCUUAACCUGUUGACAAGUUGCACACUUAGCUACGACCUCUGCUAUAUCUCUCUUCAUGCCACUUCAAUAAUAGAUAUCCCGCAAAUCAUGGUACAUCUUGGUAGAAUCUAGAUGAAUGGAAUAAUGCACACCAUGCACUUCCACCAUAAUUCGUUGCCUUAAAUCAUCAACACACGACACACACAAUCUACUCUGGUAUAUCAACACACCAGCUCCCCCUUGGGAGAAAACCUCUACCUUUUGGUCUCUAACCGACUCCUUCAGUUUAACCAAACUAAAAUCAUUAUCUUGCUUCUCCUUCACUUCCAAAACUAGGGAAAAUUCAAAACUACUCUGAACCCAAACAUUCCCUUCGGCUGAAUCAACCAACCUAACACCCAAUCUAGCCAAACGAUGAACUUCCUAAGCUAAAUCUUUCUUAUCAUUCUCCACAUGAGUAAUACUACCCAUAGACAAUCUACUAAGGGCGUCUGCCACUACAUUGGUCUUGGCCAGAUGAUACAACACACUCAUAUCAUAAUCCUUCAAUAAUUUUAACCAUCUUCUAUGGAGGAGAUUCAACUCUCUCUGUGUAAACACAUACUGCAAGCUUUUGUGGUCUGUGAACACAUCAAUGUGCCCACCAUACAAAUAGUGUCUCCAGAUUUUUAAAGCAAACACCACAACAGCUAAUUCAAGAUCAUGGGUUGGGUAAUUCUUUUCAUGAGGCUUCAACUGUCUAGAGGCAUAGGCUAUGACUUUACCUUUCUGCAUACAAAAUAACCCAAACCAACUCUAGAGGCAUCAAAUACACCAUAAAAUCAUCUAUACCAUCGGGUAAUGCUAAAACUGGGGCUAAAGUAAGUCCAGUUUUCAACUCCUAAAAACUCUUCUCGUAGGAAUCUGACCACUAAAACUUAAUCUUCUUUUGGGUCAGUCUAGACAUAGGUGAUGCAAUAUAUGAGAAGCCUUUAACAAAAUGGCGGUAAUACCUAGCUAAACCCAAGAAACCAGUUUAUUACUGCUUUGGUCUUUUGGGGAUCUACUUUAAUGCCAUUGGCGGUAACAAUAUGACCGAGAAAGGCUACUAAUCUUAGCUAAAAUUCACACUUGCUGAAUUUGGCAAACAAUUUAUGAUCUCUAAGAGUUUAUAAGACAAUUCUAAGAUAAUCUACAUAAUCUUCCUCACUAUGAGAAUAGACUAGAAUAUCAUUAAUGAAUACUAUGACAAACAUGUCUAGAUAUUGUUUGAACACUCGAUUUAUGAGGUCCAUGAAAGCUUUCGAGGCAUUUAUUAACCCGAAGGACAUGACUAGAAACUUAAAAUGACCAUAACGGGUUCUGAAAGCUGUCUUUGGAAUAUCACACUCUCUUACUUUAAUCUAAUGAUAGCCGAAUCUAAGGUCUAUCUUGGAAAAGUAACUUGCACCUUGGAGUUGAUCAAAUAAAUCAUCAAUUCUAGGAAGAGGAUAUUUGGUCUUGACUGUAUCCUUAUUUAGCUGAUAAUAGUUAAUGCACAUUCGCAUAGAACUAUCUUUCUUUUGCACGAAUAGGAUAGGAGCGCCCCAUGGAGAAAGAAUACGCCUUAUGAAAUCUUUGUCCAAAAGAUCUUUGAGUUUCCCUUUCAACUACUUAAGAUCUAUGGGAGCUAUAUGAUAUGGAGGGAUAGAAAUAGGUUGAGUAUCUGGUAGAAGGUUAAUCCCAAAUUCUAUCUCUCUAUCAGGAGGUACCCUUGGGAGAUCUUUUGGAAAAACAUCAGGAAACUCAUUGACUACACUGUCUGACUGAAUUAUUGGAGUCUCUGACUUAGUGUCUUUGACUCAAACAAGAUGAUAGAUACUUUCUUUAGAAAUCAACUUUCUGGCUUUAAGAUAAGAUAUGAAAUGACUUUUAGGAGACACUGAAUUACCUGACCACUUAAAGACUAGCUCAUCGAGGAACUGAAACUUCACCACACGGGUGCAACAAUCUAUAGAUGCAUAACAGGAAUGGAGCCAAUCCAUACCAAGAAUAAGAUCAAAGUCAACCAUUUCUAACUCUAUUCAGUCUGCUAACAUGACUUUAUAAAGGAAAGUGAUUGGAUACUUUUUAUAAAUUUGUUUGGCAACAACUGACUCACCUACUAGAGUAGAAUCCAGGAAAGGCUCAGGGAUCCUUUCAGAAUUUAUCUCAAAAUUUACUGCAACUAAUGGGAUCAUAUAAGAGAAACUCGACCCAAGGUCCAACAACACAUAAAUAUUAAGAUGAAAGACAUGAAGCAUACCAGUAACAACAUCCAGAGAAUCUUCCUACUCUUGAUGAGAUGGUAAAGCAUAAAAUUAAUUCUGGCGCUAACCGACAUCAGUACUAGAUGAUGCUCCUUAAGAAGGGGAUGGGCGACCUAGAGGAGUUGGUGCACUAGUAGCCUGAGUCUGGGGAUGAACAUCUCUGUUUCCCUUUCUAGCAUAUGGUCACUAUUUGCUUUCUUGUCCCGAAUGGCCACAACCAUAACAACCUUUCUGACCCGACAAAUGCUUACUCAAAUGGGUCUUACCACACCUGGCACAUGGUGGAUAAUUGGGCUUACUACUCACACUAUUCUGAGAUCUGGACAUAAAAGACUUACCCCACUAUUCCUGCCUAUUUCUGGGUGUAGGAGAACUGGCUGAAGAAGAUACGGGCAUAGAUGACCUUUUCUAAAACUGCAAAUGAUUUCCUUCUCCAGACCUAUUAUGACCAUAAUCGAACAGCCCUGUUCUAGCCUUCUUAUUUACUCUCUCUCUCUUCUUCAACUUUUCUACCUCAAUUAACUGUGUAUGCAUUAUCAACCUAGCAAGAUCUAUAUCUCCACUAAGCAUGGCAGUCGUACACUCCUUAACUACCAACCUAGACACAUGGGUCAUAAACUUACUCAUGCUUGACCUAGGGUUAGCCAUCUGAUCAGGGGAAUAAUUAUACAAUUAGUUGAACUUAAGGCAAUACUCUUUCACUGUCAUUAAGCCUUGCCCCAGGUUUAUGAACUUUUCUAUCUUAGCUUCCCUCAUCUCACAUGGGAAGAACUUGUCUAAGAACACAUCCCAAAAUACCUGCCAAGUCAUGGAAGAUGCAUUUUUCUUUCUACUUUUCUUCCACAUUACUACCCAAUCAUAUGAAAUAUCCUCCAACCUAUAGGAUGCUAAUUCCACACUCUCCUCUUCAGAAAUAUCCAUAAUUUGGGUGAUCUUCUUCACCUCAUCUAGAUAAACUUGUGGGUCCUUACCUACUUUCGACCCAAAGAAUUUCAACAGGUUCAUUCUCAUAAAAUCUCAAAUUCUAGCUGCGGCUAAGUCCCCGUCUUGCUGAGGUGGGACUUCAACCUGACAGUUGCCCUUAAUAUUGGCUGUCACAGCUUGGGAUAGCACCUGAAAGUCAAUCCAAAACUCUGUAUAUGACAUAUUCUCAUUCAAAGGAUCUGUGGGCUGAGGUGGCUGGUUAUCAUUUCUACGUGCAUUAGCUCGACGAGGAGGCAUUUUUGUCACAUAAAAGCACGAGUUAGAAGCAUCUAGAGACACUGAAUGCAUGAUAGAUCAUGAAAGAAGAGGUGAUUUUCUAAAAUGCUCCAUAGCCUUUUGCAAAUAGAUGUGGCAUGCUUCACACCAAUGAUAAAGACUCUACAUAACGUAGCUUGCUUGACUCCCUAGGACUCUCUAAACCUUAGGCUAUGAUACCAAGUUUGUAACACUCCAAAAUCUGAUUCUCGGGAAGCCACACGGUGCUCCAAACUACAAGUAGUCCUGAGCUAACCCUGGCUUCCUUGUACUAAAACUGAAUCUCAAAAUAGAAGAAUAUAAAUGUAAAACCAUAAGAAAUGCAGAAUGCUAUUAGAAUUAUCUGAGUAUAUCUAAAAAUACUAAGCUUAUCAGUCUAAUAAAGCAAAUACUGAGAAAUCUGAAUACUGCUACUAAUAUCUAAAACUGAAGCUAGUUGUCUGACAAGCCUCUACCGAUUAAAUC